CGCCAAGGAGUCUAACAUGUGCGCAAGUCAUUGGGUGAUAAAACCUAAAGGCGUAACGAAAGUAAAGAAAGCUUUGCUUUAUAAGGAAGGAUGAUUAUAUUUUACUGUAUAUUGUUAAAAAAGAACACUUAAAAAAAAUACAGAUAGAUUAAAAAUACAUAGUUAAACAAAACUUGUACAUAUAACAUAUACAUAUUUCAUAUAUAAUCCGCACUUUCGGAGUGUCUGUUACUCAUUGCGAGUUAAGACGCACCAAGAGCGCACACGUUGGGUCCCGAAAGAUGGUGAACUAUGCCUGGCCAGGAUGAAGCCAGAGGAAACUCUGGUGGAGGUCCGUAGCGAUUCUGACGUGCAAAUCGAUCGUCAGAGCUAGGUAUAGGGGCGAUAGACCGAUCGAACCAUCUAGUAGCUGGUUCCCUCCGAAGUUUCCCUCAGGAUAGCUGGUACUUAUGAUAAAAAGAGUCUCAUCCGGUAAAGCGAAUGAUUAGAGGCCUUGGGGCCGAAACGACCUCAACCUAUUCUCAAACUUUAAAUGGAUGAGAGCCUUGGCUUGCUUAAAAAAUGAAGCCAGGGACUUGGAUCAAAGUGCCAAGUGGGCCAAUUUUGGUAAGCAG
rnacentral:rRNA from 1 species